GAUGAACGCUGGCGGCGUGCCUAAUACAUGCAAGUCGAGCGAACAGACGAGGAGCUUGCUCCUCUGACGUUAGCGGCGGACGGGUGAGUAACACGUGGAUAACCUACCUAUAAGACUGGGAUAACUUCGGGACACCGGAGCUAAUACCGGAUAAUAUAUUGAACCGCAUGGUUCAAUAGUGAAAGACGGUUUUGCUGUCACUUAUAGAUGGAUCCGCGCCGCAUUAGCUAGUUGGUAAGGUAACGGCUUACCAAGGCAACGAUGCGUAGCCGACCUGAGAGGGGGAUCGGCCACACUGGAACUGAGACAGGGUCCAGACUCCUACGGGAGGCAGCAGUAGGGAAUCUUCCGCAAUGGGCGAAAGCCUGACGGAGCAACGCCGCGUGAGUGAUGAAGGUCUUCGGAUCGUAAAACUCUGUUAUUAGGGAAGAACAAAUGUGUAAGUAACUAUGCACGUCUUGACGGUACCUAAUCAGAAAGCCACGGCUAACUACGUG
rnacentral:rRNA from 1 species